ensembl:lncRNA
GCUGCUGCUAGAUGGUAAAGAAAGUUUUCCAUUGCUGGUGGAAAUCAUUUUUGCUUUAAUGCCUCGAAAUUGAGGAGUCACUUUCCUCCAUCGUCCACAACUUCUAAAAUUGGUUGCUAGGCUGGUGAAGAUUUCCUUUGUUUUUAGGGCAACAUCCUGUACAAUCUGGCUGUCCGACUUCUCUGGGUCUCCACUGACUGGACAAUCAACUGACCAGUUUCUUUGUGCAGCCUGCCCAUUGUCAGGGGCUCUUUUGCAAAUGGAGCAAUAGUGAUGUCACUCUCUGCCAGAUUCAUGAACACAUCACAAAGAUCCAGUCUACUGCUCACCCACCUCCAGGUCUACAAAUCUAGCUGUAUAACCUGUGUGCAUCUGCAGGGCUUCCAGCUCAUCAGCAUGAGAUGCGCAUAAGAAUGCAGGCAGUAUGAUCCUGUGGAUGCCACGCCAGGACAGGCAGGAUCUUGUGGAAAGACUGGCAGGAUCAGCCUGACUGUGAGCAUCAGCUGAGUGCCUGCUGCCUCAAGCUCAGCCAUCUUCAGGCAGCCUGCCCAGCUUCAGUGCUCUUGUAGCCUUUUUAAGCCACCCUGCAAAGUACCUCCUCUCUUCUUGUUCUCAGCAACUCAACUUAUGAUUCCAUUGAUUGGUGCUGGUCUCACUGCAAAUCCUUUCUCAUCAUCAACAAUAACAACAACAAAACAUUUUGGGGAAUCUCAAGAUAUUCAGAACAAAUUUAGUGGAUUAGAACUCAGCUAGGCUGGCUCUGAUAAUACAGGUCCAGUCAAUGUUCUGGAAUCUUUCCUAAAAGAUACAGAAGCUCUGAUAUAGAUUCACCUUCUCCAACACCUAUUGAGUCUGUUUCUCUGCAGAAAGAGGCUGAAGAAAGCAGCAGUUGCCUCUCUCUGAGUAGAGGAUGGAGCUGCAGAGAAAAAAAAUUCUGAAAACUCCAACUUCAAGCUUCAAGUCUAAGAGAAGAGUGAUACCUCCAAGACAGCCCCCAGUGAUCCUCACCCCAUGGCACUGAAGUAUUUUUCUAGUUUCUUUCCAAGUUGAAUGAGGGUUACCUCAUGGGAUGAAUAGAUGAUGUGUGAAUUCCAAGGAUAGGUCAUAAGAGGCAUUGCAGCUGCUUGGUCUAUGAAAUUACUUGCUCUGGGAGAAGCCAGCCACCAUGCUGUGAGGCUGCCCAGUCAUCCUUUUGACGGGACCAACUUGUCAAUCACAUUGAUAAGCAACCUUGGAAGCAGAUCCUCCAGCUCCCAUCAGGCUUCAGAUGACUGCAGUCAACAUCUUGCCUACAGUCACAUGAAAGACCCCAAAGAAGAGCCACUCAGCCAAACCAAACUGUUGUGGACCCC